rnacentral:rRNA from 1 species
UGGGGAAUAUUGCACAAUGGGGGAAACCCUGAUGCAGCGACGCCGCGUGAGCGAAGAAGGCCUUCGGGUCGUAAAGCUCUUUUAUAUGGGAAGAUAAUGACGGUACCAUAAGAAAAAGCCCCGGCUAACUACGUGCCAGCAGCCGCGGUAAUACGUAGGGGGCUAGCGUUGUCCGGAAUCACUGGGCGUAAAGGGUUCGCAGGCGGCAAUGCAAGUUAGAUGUAAAAGGCAAAGGCUCAACCUUUGUAAGCAUCUGAAACUGUAUAGCUUGAGAAGUGUAGAGGCAAGUGGAAUUUUUAGUGUAGCGGUGAAAUGCGUAGAUAUUAAAAAGAAUACCGGUGGCGAAGGCGACUUGCUGGGCACAAUCUGACGCUGAGGAACGAAAGCGUGGGGAGCAAACAGG